GAUUGCAAACAUUUAAAUAGUUAAAUCAACUCCUUAGCUGAGUGUGGGGUUACAGAGGAUGGGAACAAACAAGCCUAACUCUUCUGGGAAGACUGCUAAGGAAUUUUUGAGAAUGCUGGCUUUGUGCUGUGCCCAAGUGACCAGAGGAGUGAAAUGAAGACAAAUGGCAGUAAAAUAAUUCCAGAGAGCUGCCACAAUGCAUUCUCCUGCUGGGAAGUUACAGCAUGCCUGUGCUCAGACCUCUGCUGGAUGAUGCCCAGU